rnacentral:rRNA from 1 species
GCAUAAUCAUUAGUUUUUUAAUUGGAGACUGGAAUGAAGGGUAGGAAUCGAAGGAAAGUUUUAGCUAGUAAGUUUGAAGUUAAAUUUAAAGUAAAAAUGCUUUAAUAAAUUCUAGGGACGAGAAGACCCUAGAAGCUUAAAAACAAGAGUUUUUUGAUUGGGGUAAUUGUUUGAAGAUAAUAAUUUUUAAUAGAGAAUGAUCAUAAAAGGUAAAAGUUACUCUAGGGAUAACAGCGUAAUUUAAUUAGCGAGUUCUUAUUAACAAUUGAGAUUGCGACCUCGAUGUUGAAUUAAAU